GACGAACGCUGGCGGCGUGCUUAACACAUGCAAGUCGAACGGAAAGGCCCUGCUUUUGUGGGGUGCUCGAUUGGCGAACGGGUGAGUAACACGUGAGUAACCUGCCCUUGACUUUGGGAUAACUUCAGGAAACUGGGGCUAAUACCGGAUAGGAGCUCCUGCUGCAUGUUGGGGGUUGGAAAGUUUCGGCGGUUGGGGAUGGACUCGCGGCUUAUCAGCUUGUUGGUGGGGUAGUGGCUUACCAAGGCUUUGACGGGUAGCCGGCCUGAGAGGGUGACCGGCCACAUUGGGACUGAGAUACGGCCCAGAAUCCUACGGGCGGCAGCAGUGGGGAAUAUUGCACAAUGGGCGGAAGCCUGAUGCAGCAACGCCGCGUGCGGGAUGACGGCCUUCGGGUUGUAAACCGCUUUCGCCUGUGACGAAGCGUGAGUGACGGUAAUGGGUAAAGAAGCACCGGCUAACUACGUG
rnacentral:rRNA from 1 species